AUCCUUUCUCAACCUUUUGGCUAAGAUCCAGUGUAGUAUACGUUCUUAUCGGUUUAAUAUACGAUAUGUGGGCCGUUGGUCCGCAAUGAUAUUAAAUUUAUUUUUUGUGGGGGAGGGGCCACCACGGUAGCUUGCUGCUGGGCCUCUCAAGUGUCGCCUGGGCGUUGCACUACAGCCCAGGCCUGGCGCACCCCCC